CAUAGAUCUCGGCCUGCCACAACGCGAGUGGAUCGCUCCCCUGCAAAACAAGGAGAACUCGAUUACGAUUCACAGAAUUAUCAGGUAACUUUUCUAUGCCAGUAUGGAGAAAUCAUUCACUAUUUUUAUUUUUGAAUUUAUUUCAAGUGAAUCACUACAUUAACUAAUAGGAUUAAUAUUUUAAAGUCUUUUAGGAGCUUUUAUUAAAAAUUUUUUUUUUAAA